GAUAAAACGCUGACAGAAUGCUUAACACAUGCAAGUCGAUGAUGGGAAGCUAAGCCUAGCUUAGAAGAAGUCAUGGCGGACGGGUGAGUAACGUGUAAAGAACUUGCCCUCUAGACUGGGAUAACAGAUAGAAAUGUCUGAUAAUACCGGAUAUUAUUGUUACAUGGCAUCAUGUAGGAAUGAAAGGAUAAGAUUGCUAGAGGAGAGCUUUGCAUCCUAUUAGCUAGUUGGUAAGGUAGCGGCUUACCAAGGCGAUGAUAGGUAGCCGGCCUGAGAGGGUGGACGGCCACAAGGGGACUGAGAUACGGCCCUU
rnacentral:rRNA from 1 species